rnacentral:rRNA from 1 species
GAGUUUGAUCAUGGCUCAGGACGAACGCUGGCGGCGUGCUUAACACAUGCAAGUCGAGCGGUAAGGCUCCUUCGGGGGUACACGAGCGGCGAACGGGUGAGUAACACGUGAGUAAUCUGCCCUUCACUUGGGGAUAAGCACCGGAAACGGUGUCUAAUACCCGAUACGACCGGUGCCUGCAUGGGUGUUGGUGGAAAGUUUUUUCGGUGGGGGAUGUGCUCGCGGCCUAUCAGCUUGUUGGUGGGGUAAUGGCCUACCAGGGCUUCGACGGGUAGCCGGCCUGAGAGGGUGACCGGCCACACUGGGACUGAGACACGGCCCAGACUCCUACGGGAGGCAGCAGUGGGGAAUAUUGGACAAUGGGCGGAAGCCUGAUCCAGCAACGCCACGUGAGGGAUGACGGCCUU